rnacentral:misc_RNA from 1 species
GAGCUUUAAUCCUCCAUUCCUUCAAAAUCAUCUUACCAUCCAAUUCACCCUAUAAAUUCAUUUUUUUCAAAAACCCUACUAACCAUUUCUCCCUACAUUUCUUUUGAGGUUCUCCACUCCUUGCCACCACCUACUUCCCCAUCCAUAUCUCUUCUUUCUUUCAUAGACCCUAUUUUUUCCUCUACACGCCUCCAUGGCUAUUUUCUUCCCUGCCCUAUUUUAUUCUCUGAUCUUCCAUUCAGUGCCGUAGCACCACAAAGCCCUCCAAAACGUCUGGAUUCACCUGUUUGCCCCGAAGCAUUGAAUAGACCUAUUAUACUCUAUGGGGUUCGGAGCAGGUCAUGUUUCAAAGAACAGCAGUGACGCAACAUAGCAGCACCACGGCUUCUCCUUUUCUUUUUCCUUU